rnacentral:rRNA from 1 species
UGCGUAGGCGGGCUAAUAAGUCAGUGGUGAAAUCUUCCGGCUCAACCGGGAACCUGCCAUUGAUACUGUUAGUCUUGAGUUCGGUUGAGGUAGGCGGAAUGUGUAAUGUAGCGGUGAAAUGCUUAGAUAUUACACAGAACACCAAUUGCGUAGGCAGCUUACUAGACCGACACUGACGCUGAGGCACGAAAGCGUGGGGCACAAACCGGAUUAGAUACCCGUGUAGUCC